AUUGAACGCUGGCGGCAGGCCUAACACAUGCAAGUCGAGCGAGUGGCGGACGGGUGAGUAAUGUAUGGGGAACUGCCCGAUAGAGGGGGAUAACUACUGGAAACGGUAGCUAAUACCGCAUACCAUCGGAUGUGCCCAGAUGGGAUUAGCUAGUUGGUGGGGUAACGGCUCACCUAGGCGACGAUCCCUAGCUGGUCUGAGAGGAUGACCAGCCACACUGGAACUGAGACACGGCCCAGACUCCUACGGGAGGCAGCAGUGGGGAAUAUUGCACAAUGGGCGCAAGCCUGAUGCAGCCAUGCCGCGUGUAUGAAGAAGGCCUUCGGGUUGUAAAGUACUUUCAGCCGGGAGGCGUUACCUGCAGAAGAAGCACCGGCUAACUCCGUGCCAGCAGCCGCGGUAAUUC
rnacentral:rRNA from 1 species